GCAACCGUGAUGUCAUUUUCAGUCGACAUCUCGUGGCAAAAUGGCUGCCCAUCUAAGACGGAGAAAAAGGCAAACACGACCGCAAUAUCAACCUGAAUGACAUUUUUUGACUGUAGUGGCAACACACAUGACUGUAAAGAACAUUUUUUGACGUGACCUGCCCUUAAAUUGCACUCCCCUUCGAAUAUUUUUCAUGCGUUCCACUCUCGUUAGGUCAACGAGGGUAAAUGGUGACAUCAUCAUCAAUCAAUGACAUCAUCUUUCCAUGAUCAGGAGCAACAGGUGAAGCUUGAAGGCUGGAAGUGUGGCCGAGAGAGAGAGACAGAUGGAAAGAGAGAGAUGAUGGAAAAAUUCGGUAGACACGGGCGGCAUUUUAGCGGACGUGUAGCUCAUCCCCAGCAGAUCCUGCAGACCCCCGGCCCCAAUGACUACCAACAGCACAAUGACAAAUACGGUAUGACCAACGAGAGGCUGAACAUGAGGCUUUCCUUGUUGGCGCUAACUGUACAUGACCUUACGUUGAGGUUUUUCAUAUGUCAGCUGACAAUGAUCAUUGCAGCGAGUGGAAUUUCAUUUCGAACUUCCUGACAACCCCCCGGCCCCCUCCACCUCCACCAGUCUCCUUCGGCUGCC